AAUACAACAGCUGCCACUCUACAGAGGCUCCAGCUUAACCUUUUGUUGUACUGGCAUCAGAACGACGAGAACAAACAUUGUAUCCUAUCCCAACAUGAAGUACAUCAAGGGGAUUAAAGUCCUCUAUUUCCAGAACAGUUCCUACACUCAUUUGAUUACAUUAAAUCUCAACUUCAAUUAAAAUAAAACAACAAGAAGUACUAGUCCCCAUGAUUGUUGUGGAAAAACUUGAAAUUGUGACCACUGGAGGCUAGGACACCAGAAAGCA